AGCACGUAGGUGGGUUUGUAAGUCAGACGUGAAAGCCUUCUGUUCAACGGAAGAAUUGCAUCUGAAACUACAAACCUUGAGUGUAGGAGGGGAGAAUGGAACUUCUGGUGGAGCGGUGAAAUGCGUAGAUAUCAGAAGGAACGCCGGCGGCGAAAGCGAUUCUCUGGCCUAUUACUGACACUUAGUGUGCGAAGCUAGGGGAGCAAACGGGAUUAGAUGCCCCGGUAGUCCUAGCCGUAAACGAUGGGCACUAAGUAGAGGGG
rnacentral:rRNA from 1 species